rnacentral:rRNA from 1 species
AAAAGAGGAGUGGCGAACGGGUGAGUAACACGUGGGUAACCUGCCCAUCAGAAGGGGAUAACACUUGGAAACAGGUGCUAAUACCGUAUAACAAUCAAAACCGCAUGGUUUUGAUUUGAAAGGCGCUUUCGGGUGUCGCUGAUGGAUGGACCCGCGGUGCAUUAGCUAGUUGGUGAGGUAACGGCUCACCAAGGCCACGAUGCAUAGCCGACCUGAGAGGGUGAUCGGCCACAUUGGGACUGAGACACGGCCCAAACUCCUACGGGAGGCAGCAGUAGGGAAUCUUCGGCAAUGGACGAAAGUCUGACCGAGCAACGCCGCGUGAGUGAAGAAGGUUUUCGGAUCGUAAAACUCUGUUGUUAGAGAAGAAAAAGGAUGAGAGUAACUGUUCAUCCCUUGACGGUAUCUAACCAGAAAGCCACGGCUAACUACGUGCCAGCAGCCGCGGUAAUACGUAGGUGGCAAGCGUUGUCCGGAUUUAUUGGGCGUAAAGCGAGCGCAGGCGGUUUCUUAAGUCUGAUGUGAAAGCCCCCGGCUCAACCGGGGAGGGUCAUUGGAAACUGGGAGACUUGAGUGCAGAAGAGGAGAGUGGAAUUCCAUGUGUAGCGGUGAAAUGCGUAGAUAUAUGGAGGAACACCAGUGGCGAAGGCGGCUCUCUGGUCUGUAACUGACGCUGAGGCUCGAAAGCGUGGGGAGCAAGCAGG